GAUGAACGCUGGCGGCGUGCCUAAUACAUGCAAGUCGAGCGAACAGACGAGGAGCUUGCUCCUCUGACGUUAGCGGCGGACGGGUGAGUAGCACGUGGAUAACCUACCUAUAAGACUGGGAUAACUUCGGGAAACCGGAGCUAAUACCGGAUAACAUGUUGAACCGCAUGGUUCAACAGUGAAAGACGGUCUUGCUGUCGCUUAUAGAUGGAUCCGCGCCGCAUUAGCUAGUUGGUAAGGUAACGGCUUACCAAGGCAACGAUGCGUAGCCGACCUGAGAGGGGGAUCGGCCACACUGGAACUGGAACACCGUCCAGGCCCCUACGGGAGGGAGCAGUAGGGAAUCUUCCGCAAUGGGCGAAAACCUGACGGAACAACGGCGCGUGAGGUGAAGAAGGCUUCCGAUCGGAAAACUCUGUUAUUAGGGGAAAACAAAUGUGUAAGUAACUAUGCACGUCUUGACGGUACCUAAUCAGAAAGCCACGGCUAACUACGUG
rnacentral:rRNA from 1 species